rnacentral:tRNA from 1 species
GGCCCAGUGGCAAAGCGGUCAAACGCAUCUCCGUACCAAAGAGACUGUCGCGGGUUUGAAUCCCGUCUGGUCGG